CCUACGGGAGGCAGCAGUGGGGAAUAUUGCACAAUGGGGGGAACCCUGAUGCAGCGACGCCGCGUGGGUGAGGAAGUAUUUCGGUAUGUAAAGCCCUAUCAGCAGGGAAGAAAAUGACGGUAACUGACUAAUAAGCCCCGGCUAACUACGUGCCAGCCGCCGCGGUAAUACGUAGGGGGGAAGCGUUAACCGGAUUUACGGGGUGUAAGGGGGGCGUAGACGGAGUGGCAAGUCUGAAGUGAAAGGCCCAGGCUCAACCCCGGGACUGCUUUUGAAACUGGCAUGCUGGAGUGCCGGAGGGGCAAGCGGAAUUCCUAGUGUAGCGGUGAAAUGCGUAGAUAUUAGGAGGAACACCGGUGGCGAAGGCGGCUUGCUGGACGGUAACUGACGUUGAGGCUCGAAAGCGUGGGGAGCAAACAGGAUUAGAUACCCCAGUAGUC
rnacentral:rRNA from 1 species